CAAUAGCGUAUAUUAAAGUUGUUGCAGUUAAAAAGCUCGUAGUUGGAUUUGUGGCGUACGGUGUGUUCCGGGCACUUGUUGUCUGAGUAACCUGCUGUUGCCAUCCUUGGGUGGAACCUGUGUGGCAUUAGGUUGUCGUGCAGGGGAUGCCCAUCAUUUACUGUGAAAAAAUUAGAGUGUUCAAAGUAGGCUUAUGCCGUUGAAUAUAUUAGCAUGGAAUAAUGAGAUAGGACUUUUUUGCUAUUUUGUUGGUUUGCGCAAAGAGGUAAUGAUUAAUAGGGACAGUUGGGGGUAUUCGUAUUCCAUUGUCAGAGGUGAAAUUCUUGGAUUUUUGGAAGACGAACUACUGCGAAAGCAUUUACCAAGGAUGUUUUCAUUAA
rnacentral:rRNA from 1 species